rnacentral:rRNA from 1 species
GAUGAACGCUGGCGGCGUGCCUAAUACAUGCAAGUAGAACGCUGAAGGAGGAGCUUGCCCUUCUGGAUGAGUUGCGAACGGGUGAGUAACGCGUAGGUAACCUGCCUGGUAGCGGGGGAUAACUCUUGGAAACGAUAGCUAAUACCGCAUGACAACAGUUAUUGCAUGAUAACUGUUUAAAAGGGGCAACUGUUCCACCACCAGUUGGACCUGCGUCGCUUUAGCCAGUUGGUGAGGUAACGGCUCACCAAGGCGACGAAACAUAACCGACCUCGGAGGGUGAUCGGCCAACACGGGACUGGGACAAGGCCCCGGAUUCCAAGGGAGGGAACAGGAGGGAAACUUCGGGCAUGGACGGAAGGCUGGACGGGCAACGCCGGGUGGGGGGAGAAGGUUGUCGGAUCGGUAAGCUCUGUUGUAAGGGAAGAACGAGUGGGGGAGUGGAAAGUUCACACUGUGACGGUAUCUUACCAGAAAGGGACGGCUAACUACGUG